UUUUCUCUGUUGAAGGUGACAACCUCGCAAUCCAGAAUAAAAGAUUUCACAGUGGGCUUCUUUAACCUGUAUAGAGAAGAUAUUUACACUAACUUCAUUAGAAAUAUGGGCUCAUUCUAAUUUUUUCAACAAGUAACAACACAACAAACAAGU